rnacentral:misc_RNA from 1 species
UGCAGGAGGGCCUGGCUA